rnacentral:rRNA from 1 species
AUUGAACGCUAGCGGCAUGCCUAACACAUGCAAGUCGAACGGGUGGCGGAGGGGUGGGUAAGUUAUGGAGAUCUGCCCGAUCGAUGGGGAUAACUGCGGGAAAAGGUGGCUAAUACCGCAUACUAUCGUAUGGACCCAUAUGGGAUUAGGUAGUAGGUGUGGUAACGGCUCACCUAGGCGACAAUCCCUACCUGGUCUGAGAGGAUGACCAGCCACACUGGGACUGAGACACGGCCCAGAAUCCUACGGGAGGCAGCAGUGGGGAAUAUUGCACAAUGGGCGCAAGCCUGAUGCAGCCAUGCCGCGUGAAUGAAGAAGGUCUUAGGGUUGUAAAGUACUGUCAGUAGGGAGGCGUUAUCGACAGAAGAAGCACCGGCUAACUCCGUGCCAGCAGCCGCGGUAAUAC